GGGGAUGUGGUCACAAUGGUAUGAUACCCUAGAGUGUCCCACUUUGGAGGGGCAAAAAGCGCCCUUCUGGCAACUAGUGGUGAUGCGAGUUCGAUUCCCGCCAUCUCCA